rnacentral:snRNA from 1 species
GAAUGUGAGGGUGAUCUGGCUGUGACAUCUGUCACCACAUUGAUUGCCAGGGUUGAUUCACCUGAUUGGGCUGGCUAGGCAGGUGUCUCCUUCCUCCCUCACCGCUCCACGUGUGUCCCUCCCAAAGCUGCAUGCUCAGUUGAAGAGGACAACAUUUCCUGAUAGAGGAGGACCAUUCUUCAUUCAAGAGUAUACAGGUAGCUGCAUGCCCCUGCUAGAACCUCCAAAUAGGCUCAAAAGAAGAUAGACAAAUGGCCAACAUAAUAUAUGAAAAAAUGUUCAACAU